CUCCCAGGGAUGGCACUCUGCAAAGAUGCUGCCCAGUUCAUCUGAAUUUUGAAUACACAACAAAUAUUUUGGACAUAUGUCAAAAGUUUAAAAGAUAUGAUCAAGCAGUUCCCGGAUGCUCUGGAGAGUUUGGGGUCUCUUUAUGCACG